rnacentral:rRNA from 1 species
CCCUUAGAUGUCCGGGGCCGCACGCGCGCUACAAUGGAUGAAUCAACGCGUCAUCCUGGCCCGAAAGGGUUGGGGAUCCGCUGAACCUCAUCCGUGGUUGGGAUUGGGGUUUGUAAUUAUUCCCCAUGAACUAGGAAUUCCCAGUAAGCGCGAGUCAUAAGCUCGCGUUGAUUACGUCCCUGCCCUUUGUACACACCGUCCGUCGCUACUACCGAUUGGAUGGUUUAGUGAGAUCCUCGGAUUGGUCACGGCACGGUGGCAACACUGCGUCGGUGUGCCGAGAAGACGAUCAAACUUGACCAUCUAGAGGAAGUAAAAGUCGUAACA